ACGACCGCGUACUUUUUGUAGAACGGUCCGGCGAGUUACGCUUACUGGCAAGGUUAAGCACUUCAGGUGUGGAGCCGUAGGGAAACCAAGUCUUAAUAGGGCCAGAGUCAGUAGGAGUAGACCCGAAACCGGGUGAUCUAUCCAUGUCCAGGUUGAAGCUGCCGUAAGAGGUAGUGGAGGACCGAACCCACAUCCGUUGAAAAGGGUGGGGAUGAGGUGUGGAUAGGGGAGAAAUUCCAAUCGAACCCGGAGAUAGCUGGUUCUCCUCGAAAUAGCUUUAGGGCUAGCCUCGGUGUGAGUCUUGCGGAGGUAGAGCACUGAAUUUCCUAGGGGGCGUCAAAGCCUACCGAAGAAUAUCAAACUCCGAAUGCCGUGUAGAUAUCACCGGGAGUCAGACUGCACGAGAUAAGUUGGGCGGUCAAAAGGGAAAGAGCCCAGACCUACAGUUAAGGUCCCAAAGUGCGCGUUAAGUGGAAAAGGAUGUGGGAUUUCGAAGACAACCAGGAUGUUGGCUCAGAAGCAGCCAUACAUUCAAAGAGUGCGUAAUAGCUCACUGGUCGAGAGGUCCUGCGCCGAAAAUGUCCGGGGCUGAAACGCGCCACCGAAACUAAGGAAUCUGAAAAGAUUGGUAGAGGAGCAUUGCAUGCGGGAAGAAGCAGUACCGGAAGGAGCUGUGGACUGCAUGGAAGAGAGAAUGCCGGAAUGAGUAGCGAGAUAGAGGUGGGAAUCCUCUAGGCCGAAUAUCCAAGGUUUCCAGGGUAAAGCUGAUCUGCCCUGGGUGAGUCGGGACCUAAGGUGAGGGCGAGAGCCGUAGCCGAUGGACAACAGGUUGAUAUUCCUGUACUGCAGUAUGACAGAACUGUGGGGACACGUAAGGAGAGCGGGAGCCGGGAAUGGAAAGCCCGGUACAAGCGAGGUACCAGUAUGGUAGGAAAAUCCGCCAUGCAAUGGGAAGACGUGAUGUGGAGUGAAUUUUAGUAACGAAGCCCGUGAGCCAUGCGUCAAGAAAAGCCGCUAUCGUUCAUAUUGUACCCGUACCGUAAACCGACACAGGUGGAUGAGGAGAGAAUCCUAAGGCCGGCGGAAGAAGUAUUGCCAAGGAACUCGGCAAAAUGGCCCCGUAACUUAGGGAGAAGGGGUGCCUGCGAGAGCAGGCCGCAGAGAAUAGGCUCAAGCAACUGUUUAGCAAAAACACAGGUCUAUGCGAAACCGAAAGGUGAGGUAUAUGGGCUGACGCCUGCCCGGUGCUGGAAGGUUAAGAGGAGAGGU
rnacentral:rRNA from 1 species